UACAGAGGGUGCGAACGUUGCUCGGAAUUACUGGGCGUAAAGCGCGUGUAGGCGGAGCCGCAAGUCAGAUGUGAAAUCCCCGGGCUCAACCCGGGAACUGCAUCUGAAACUGCGGUUCUAGAGUGUCGGAGAGGGCGGCGGAAUUCCUGGUGUAGCGGUGAAAUGCGCAGAUAUCAGGAGGAACACCAGUGGCGAAGGCGGUGCUCUGGGCCGGAACUGACGCUGAGGAGCGAAAGCAUGGGGAGCGAACAGG
rnacentral:rRNA from 1 species